CGCGUAGGCGGCUUUAUAAGUCUGGAGUGAAAGUCCUCUUUUCAAGGGAGGAAUUGCUUUGGAAACUAUAGAGCUUGAGUGCAGGAGAGGUUAUCGGAAUUCCCGGUGUAGCGGUGAAAUGCGUAGAUAUCGGGAGGAACAUCGGUGGCGAAGGCGGGUAACUGGACUGCAACUGACGCUGAGGCGCGAAAGUGUGGGGAGCAAAACAG
rnacentral:rRNA from 1 species